rnacentral:siRNA from 1 species
GACAUGAACUGAUUCUGGAGCA